rnacentral:rRNA from 1 species
UGGGGAAUUUUGGACAAUGGGCGAAAGCCUGAUCCAGCAAUGCCGCGUGUGUGAAGAAGGCCCUUCGGGUUGUAAAGCACUUUUGUCCGGAAAGAAAUCCUUGGCUCUAAUACAGUCGGGGGAUGACGGUACCGGAAGAAUAAGCACCGGCUAACUACGUGCCAGCAGCCGCGGUAAUACGUAGGGUGCAAGCGUUAAUCGGAAUUACUGGGCGUAAAGCGUGCGCAGGCGGUUUGCUAAGACCGAUGUGAAAUCCCCGGGCUCAACCUGGGAACUGCAUUGGUGACUGGCAGGCUAGAGUAUGGCAGAGGGGGGUAGAAUUCCACGUGUAGCAGUGAAAUGCGUAGAGAUGUGGAGGAAUACCGAUGGCGAAGGCAGCCCCCUGGGCCAAUACUGACGCUCAUGCACGAAAGCGUGGGGAGCAAACAGGAUUAGAUACCCUGGUAGUCCACGCCCUAAACGAUGUCAACUAGUUGUUGGGGAUUCAUUCCUUAGUAACGUAGCUAACGCGUGAAGUUGACCGCCUGGGGAGUACGGUCGCAAGAUUAAAACU